rnacentral:rRNA from 1 species
UAGCGGCGGACGGGUGAGUAACACGUGGGUAACCUGCCUGUAAGACUGGGAUAACUCCGGGAAACCGGGGCUAAUACCGGAUGCUUGUUUGAACCGCAUGGUUCAGACAUAAAAGGUGGCUUCGGCUACCACUUACAGAUGGACCCGCGGCGCAUUAGCUAGUUGGUGAGGUAACGGCUCACCAAGGCGACGAUGCGUAGCCGACCUGAGAGGGUGAUCGGCCACACUGGGACUGAGACACGGCCCAGACUCCUACGGGAGGCAGCAGUAGGGAAUCUUCCGCAAUGGACGAAAGUCUGACGGAGCAACGCCGCGUGAGUGAUGAAGGUUUUCGGAUCGUAAAGCUCUGUUGUUAGGGAAGAACAAGUGCCGUUCAAAUAGGGCGGCACCUUGACGGUACCUAACCAGAAAGCCACGGCUAACUACGUGCCAGCAGCCGCGGUAAUACGUAGGUGGCAAGCGUUGUCCGGAAUUAUUGGGCGUAAAGGGCUCGCAGGCGGUUUCUUAAGUCUGAUGUGAAAGCCCCCGGCUCAACCGGGGAGGGUCAUUGGAAACUGGGGAACUUGAGUGCAGAAGAGGAGAGUGGAAUUCCACGUGUAGCGGUGAAAUGCGUAGAGAUGUGGAGGAACACCAGUGGCGAAGGCGACUCUCUGGUCUGUAACUGACGCUGAGGAGCGAAAGCGUGGGGAGCGAACAGGAUUAGAUACCCUGGUAGUCCACGCCGUAAACGAUGAG